rnacentral:lncRNA from 1 species
UAUAUAUAUAUAACUAUUAACCUAUUUAUUCGUUGCAUUUCAUGCAUCCUCUGUUCCAAUUAUAUAUAUUCCAAUUAUACAUAUAUGGGUUCAAAAAAAAAAAAACAUCGACAUCAAACAUCUACAUAGUACAAACUAUUAUCAACUAUCAUAUAUGCCUAUUUAUAUAACUUCUCGGAAUAUGAAAUAAUUCUCCAUCUAAGCUUAAUAACAUAAAAUCCUAUAGGAACAUGCCGACCACAAUGGCAAAAGUUUCACCAACUCGAUGAAUACGGGAUUUUCUGUUGGAUACUGAUAAGAACGAGUGCUAACCUGCGCACGGAAGACAAACCCAACACUGAGUAAUCAACUCGGUAGCAUUUCUAUAACUAAUGUUAUAAUAUAAAAUAAAUUAAAAAUCAAGGGUUCAUA